CUACUUGUCUUCAGUUUCCUUCUCCACAUCUCCUCUGUUCUCUUCUCUUCUCUUUUGAUAAUCAUAUCAAAAAGUUGCCUUUGGUCGGUCCGAUGACUUAAUUACGGAGCAAACCUUGAUUUAAUGCCCUUAAGCUGUGUCCUUUGUGUGUUUGUAUAUACAUAGGUAGUAAAAUGUUUUUCCCAGAAAUUUAUUAAGAUUCUAUUUGUUGACAUUUCUUUUAGAUAGCAACUAAUUAUAUUCGAGGUUUUCUAGACUGUUUAUCUGCAUCCAGCCAAAGUAUUUUUCCAUCGAUUAUUAGUAUCAAUCUUCGUCAAUCUGUAUACAUAAAAAAAACUCAAAACUUAGUUCGUUUAAUUUUGUUCAACAACUUGCUCCAAUUUGCGAGUGUCUACUGUAAUAUAUGUUUUUUUCACGCACAUCGGUCGCAUUUGCAAGUCGAAACAUAAUUUAGCUGCCGCAUGGCAUGGCAUAAUUCAGCCACGCCCCCUGCCUAACAGCCCCCCUGACUACUGUUUCGCAUGCUGAGUCAUGCGCUUUCAAUUUGAAUCAAUUUAGAUGAGGGAAAGAGAGAGAGAGCGAGAGAGAGAGAGAGAGAGGGGGAAGCAAAGCCACAAAAAAUCAAGACUGAAACUAUAAUCAGAUAAUUUGGCUGCUGUUUUAUAUACAGAGCUGUUCCCUAGAACUUUGAGUAUAUAUAAUAGGAGCAAUUGAUAAGUGAAUGCUAUAGUGGGCAGGGCUCGACUAGGAUAUACCCGGAAUCCCCUUCCUCUGCUGUUGCUGCGAAUAUUCUAGAUAACAACAUGAAACAUACUCCAGCUGGGCGUGUUAUAGGAGUGUACAACAUGUGUAAGAUGUGAUGAUGUUAGCUUCAAUAGGUUCUAAUAUACAGCCAGACGGAAAGUAUAGGCAAAUAAAGUCAGUUAAUAAUUGGCUAAAUUGUCUCGACUCUUGCCUUUAUUGCCGAAUAUAUGUACAUGUAUUCAUAUGCUCUUCGUGCGUCAUAAGUUUUAGAGUGUAUAAACCGCAAAAUACUAAGUGCUAUGCUAAUUUCUAAUAUGUGGUACACUCUAUAUAAAUACAUCAAUUAUCAAAUGAGCUUUGCUCUAUGAGUCAGAAAAUUAAAAUAAACGCCGUUGAAGUCUUGUAAGUGGAAAACUAAUGAAAAUGUUUCGUUGUUCAACUUUAAUGAGAUUCAGCAGACAGUUUUUGAAAGGGGGGUAUAACUGAUAUUAAAGGAGAAAAGAAAUGGAGUUAGAGUUUUAUAGAUGAAUAAAAAGAUAAAUGAUUCUCUGAUAGAUUAAAGAUUUGUAAUAAAUUUAAAACACUCUGACAACAUAGAACUGUCAUUUCAAAAUAAUUUAUUGUUAUUAUAUUCCUUAAAAAAUAUCUUGAUCUACGUGCUCUAAAAUAAUUGAAAACCCUAUCGAAAAAAUCAGUUAUAAUUCUACUGCUAAAGUUUUAUACGAAUACUUAUGAACUAAGUACUAAUAGCAUGUGGGGGGCUGGUCUAGACUCUAUCAAAAUGCUGAUUAGCUGUUGUUGUUGUUGUUGUUUUCGUCUCUCUCUCUUGGCUGGCUUGGUCGUUUGGCGUACGACGAUAAUAGACUGGAAAAUACUGGAAAAUAAUUUUUUGCAUCGGCUUUACCAGUGCCGUGUCUUGUUUUAGCCGGUGCCACAAUCAAAGUGUGUCAACAAAUUAAUAACGGCACUUUAAUUCAAUUAAAUGCCAAUAAAAAUCUAAUCAAUUGUCUAUUUAAAGACAUACAAAAUAACAAAUAUGCCGCAACGAUCUCUACGUGAACUCGAGCACAGAUGAGCAGCUGAGCCGCUGAUUAGAGACUCUCGAAAUACCCUAUAGAUAUGUUAGGGCUUAUUUAAUUUAAACGAACAAAACUCUUGAAAUUAUAAGUAGAUUAUUAUUGUUAGUAAUUAUUAUCAUAAAUUGUAUUACUAUUAUUAUUAAAAUAUUACAAAAGAUGAUUAUAUUCAGUUAAAAGUAUGACUAAA